rnacentral:rRNA from 1 species
AGUUCUCGUUGAUGAUCGGUGCUUGCACCGAGAUUCAACAUGGAACGAGUGGCGGACGGGUGAGUAACACGUGGGUAACCUGCCCUUAAGUGGGGGAUAACAUUUGGAAACAGAUGCUAAUACCGCAUAGAUCCAAGAACCGCAUGGUUCUUGGCUGAAAGAUGGCGUAAGCUAUCGCUUUUGGAUGGACCCGCGGCGUAUUAGCUAGUUGGUGAGGUAAUGGCUCACCAAGGCGAUGAUACGUAGCCGAACUGAGAGGUUGAUCGGCCACAUUGGGACUGAGACACGGCCCAAACUCCUACGGGAGGCAGCAGUAGGGAAUCUUCCACAAUGGACGCAAGUCUGAUGGAGCAACGCCGCGUGAGUGAAGAAGGCUUUCGGGUCGUAAAACUCUGUUGUUGGAGAAGAAUGGUCGGCAGAGUAACUGUUGUCGGCGUGACGGUAUCCAACCAGAAAGCCACGGCUAACUACGUGCCAGCAGCCGCGGUAAUACGUAGGUGGCAAGCGUUAUCCGGAUUUAUUGGGCGUAAAGCGAGCGCAGGCGGUUUUUUAAGUCUGAUGUGAAAGCCCUCGGCUUAACCGAGGAAGCGCAUCGGAAACUGGGAAACUUGAGUGCAGAAGAGGACAGUGGAACUCCAUGUGUAGCGGUGAAAUGCGUAGAUAUAUGGAAGAACACCAGUGGCGAAGGCGGCUGUCUGGUCUGUAACUGACGCUGAGGCUCGAAAGCAUGGGUAGCGAACAGGAUUAGAUACCCUGGUAGUCCAUGCCGUAAACGAUGAAUGCUAGGUGUUGGAGGGUUUCCGCCCUUCAGUGCCGCAGCUAACGCAUUAAGCAUUC